AAUCUGAAGCAGUAGCAUUCUUGUUGCUUUGAGAAUUGAUAGUCCAAGUGGAAGACUGUAAGAUUAAUGUGGACUUAUCAAUACUAAAAAAGGAAUGCAACAACUUAGCUACGUUCCUUGCAGAAUAAGUAACUAGACAAUGUUGGCCUAUAUGCAAUAGGACUGGGAAUCCUUUAUGGGAGGUACCUAGUUCUAUAAUGCCUAUAAAAAGAGAUCUGGGUCCCUGCUUUAGCAAUGAUAAGCAAUUCAUCAACACUGCCACAUUAAGUGAGAUUGCCUAAAGAAUUGCUCAGAGGAGAAGUACCAUGAUCAACCAUGUAUGUUGCAGGCCAAAUAGGGAGGUUGAGUAUAAGAGCUUAGUUGAGCAGGGGAAGCUGCAACAUGAUCCGAAUCAAGUAGCCGUGGCUUCUCAAUUGGAAUACUUGCACGGGAGAUUAGAGCAUUAUGAGAAAUGGAGGAAUAUCAUAUAAGAGUUUUUUAAUAUUGAGCCUAAUUUUAAAGUUUGAGGAUUGAAAGCUUGAAUCUUUAUCUUCAACUAUUGCAGGCAAGCCUUAUGAAUUGGGAGAAGAGAAUGCAGUGGAGGAUUUUAAUGGAGGAAGCUGAGAAUAUGCAGAAGGACAACAUGUGGACAUCAGUGAACAACCAAAGGAAUAAGCUUUUCCUGAGAUGGUUGUGCAAGUAAGCCAGACUAGACCACAGCUUAUUGAAAAUGCGUACAAAAUUUGUACUAUUUUGCUUUUAUGUAUUCUUCUAUUAUACCUGCUGCAAAAACCUUGGAAUUUAAAUUCCAUAUCAGGGAUAGAAUUUGUACA